rnacentral:rRNA from 1 species
UACGUAGGGUGCAAGCGUUGUCCGGAAUUAUUGGGCGUAAAGAGCUCGUAGGCGGUCUGUCGCGUCUGCUGUGAAAACUCAGGGCUUAACCCUGAGCUUGCAGUGGGUACGGGCAGACUAGAGUGCGGUAGGGGAGACUGGAAUUCCUGGUGUAGCGGUGAAAUGCGCAGAUAUCAGGAGGAACACCGAUGGCGAAGGCAGAUCUCUGGGCCGUAACUGACGCUGGAGGAGCGAAAGCCAUGGGGAGCGAACAGG